GGCGGAAUGGCCGAGCGGUCUAAGGCGCUAGAAUCAGGUUUAGGUCUUCCUAUCUAUCUAGUCCGAAAGGGCGUGGGUUCGAAUCCCACUUCCGUCA